rnacentral:rRNA from 1 species
GACGAACGCUGGCGGCGUGCUUAACACAUGCAAGUCGAACGAUGAACCAGGGCUUGCCUUGGGAAUUAGUGGCGAACGGGUGAGUAACACGUGGGCAACCUGCCCCUGACUCUGGAAUAACUCCGGGAAACCGGAGCUAAUACCGGAUAUGAGCACUGCGGACAUCCGCGGUGUUGGAAAGUUUUUUCGGUCAGGGAUGGGCCCGCGGCCUAUCAGCUUGUUGGUGGGGUAAUGGCCCACCAAGGCGACGACGGGUAGCCGGCCUGAGAGGGCGACCGGCCACACUGGGACUGAGACACGGCCCAGACUCCUACGGGAGGCAGCAGUGGGGAAUAUUGCGCAAUGGGCGAAAGCCUGACGCAGCGACGCCGCGUGA